UACGGGGGGGCAAGCGUUGUUCGGAAUUACUGGGCGUAAAGGGCGUGUAGGCGGCCAACUAAGUCCGACGUGAAAUCCCCAGGCUUAACCUGGGAACUGCGUCGGAUACUGGAUGGCUUGAAUCCGGGAGAGGGAUGCGGAAUUCCAGGUGUAGCGGUGAAAUGCGUAGAUAUCUGGAGGAACACCGGUGGCGAAGGCGGCAUCCUGGACCGGCAUUGACGCUAAAGCGCGAAAGCCAGGGGAGCAAACGGG
rnacentral:rRNA from 1 species